AACGAACGCUGGCGGCAUGCCUAACACAUGCAAGUCGAACGAGAUCUUCGGAUCUAGUGGCGCACGGGUGCGUAACGCGUGGGAAUCUGCCCUUGGGUUCGGAAUAACAGUUAGAAAUGACUGCUAAUACCGGAUGAUGACGUUAAGUCCAAAGAUUUAUCGCCCGAGGAUGAGCCCGCGUAGGAUUAGCUAGUUGGUGUGGUAAGAGCGCACCAAGGCGACGAUCCUUAGCUGGUCUGAGAGGAUGAUCAGCCACACUGGGACUGAGACACGGCCCAGACUCCUACGGGAGGCAGCAGUGGGGAAUAUUGGACAAUGGGCGAAAGCCUGAUCCAGCAAUGCCGCGUGAGUGAUGAAGGCCUUAGGGUUGUAAAGCUCUUUUACCCGGGAUGAUAAUGACAGUACCGGGAGAAUAAGCUCCGGCUAACUCCGUGCCAGCCGCCGCCGUAAAAC
rnacentral:rRNA from 1 species